AUAGUACUCCCUCCGUUCGGAAUUACUUAUCUCGAAAAUGGAUGUAUCUAAAAUUAAAAUAUGUCUAGAUACAUUCAUUUCUGCGACAAGUAAUUCCGGACGGAGGGAGUAGGUA
rfam:Triticum aestivum genome assembly, contig: Triticum_aestivum_CS42_TGACv1_scaffold_642163_T_4AL-0.226673_7BS-0.191292